CCCCACACAGGGUGCUGUGAGAGUAAAAUGAGGGGGAAAUUAGGAGAAAGUUUUCAAAACUCUAAAAUCCUAUAUAAAUAUAAGUUACAGCAUAUUAUGAGACCUCUAAAUGAUUUCAAUCUCUAUGUGCUGAAAUGGUAACACCUCCAAGAUAUGUUUGCUAGAGAAGAAACUGCUAUCCUGCAGCCUCACAUUUCCACGUCAGCCCACGGGAGAGUGGAUAUUUCCACCUACGUUGUCAGACCAUCUCCACCCACUUUCUAGCUACUCUUCUGCGUCCUAUGAGACGAGGAAUUCUAGUGUCAUUAGCCGCAUUCUCAGAUCACAUUUUACUAGUAGCAGGACUACUAUUCCUUAAAGGCAAGAACAGGUUCCACCGAUUCUCUAUUGCUUCCUGGUCCUAUGUCGUCGAUUCACAGAGCAGAGCCUGGCCUCAGAGGCAGGCCAGCCAUGCUCAUCCACAGGCUGAUUAGGUAACUGGCUUAGACAGGAAGCAGGGAGCAAGAAGCCCUGCUUAGAUUUCUAGGCCUCCUUCUCUAGGACCAUUGACACUUCAUAAGGAAAACCUGCCUUUUAAAGAUAUAAGGCAUUUGCUCAGCUAUUCUAUUUUAGAAGUCAUUACUUGUACUUUGCCCCCGACAAAUCUGUUUCCUAGUCAAGAGACCUGGAGAAAAGGUGGGUAAGUGGUCAGAUUUAGUAUUAAAAUUCUACCCAAAACAGCAAAUACUUUUUAGUGGAAGAAAAAAAAACUCUUAGAACAAUACCUACAUUAUAAUGCUGUUUCUGUCAAAAUAAAAUGUCCCCAAAUUCUGUGUAUAUUCUUAUAUGAUUAUGAAAAUAAUUUUUGAAAAGGUCAGCAACGAGGCAAACCAAACCCUGACCAUGCCUGCUGUGUGGGAGGAGAAUGGGGUGGCGGGAGUUAGAGGGGGAAAUGUGAAGAGAGAGAUUGACUUUUUUCCUCUCUGUAGUUCUGCAUAUUGUUUGAAUUUUCACAAUGAGUAGGUAUUCAUAUAUUAUGUGUGUAUGUUUUUAAAAAUAAGGUUUACUAUUUUCUAAUACACAGAAAAAUAACUUGCUGAAUAUCAGAAAUCUAAGGAACAACAAACUUCAUACACAAAAGAUUUCCUUAAGCAAAUGUAUGGCCUUAGCUAAAACAAAACCUCCCCUUUCUCCCUAAAAAUCUACAAGAACUAUAAGAAUGUGAAAAAAAAGUCAUUAAAAGAAGAUAAUAAAAGGUAUAACGCAAAAUAAUUCCUAUUUUAAGACUUACUCUUGGUUUGCUUGACCUGCUGGGCCUUGCCUAGAAGUAGACUAUUAAACAAUAGCUAUUUUGAGGGAUGAAUAAAGGAUUCUCUGAGAACCAGAGGACCAGCUUGCCAAAGUAGGAACUGAUAUUUGUCUUCUGAAGUCAGGUGGUAUUAUUACCAAGUGCUACAUAUUAUACGUAUACACCUAGACAUAGAACACAUAUACACAUAUGUGUAUCAACACAAUUCAUGCAAAAUAUAUAUUACUGAGCUUCCUAAAAGCAAGAGCCAUGAUUUAGCCAUAUUUGUGUCAGAGUACCCAAUUCAAUAACCUGACACCUUGUCAUCAACACAAAUGUUCUGAACUACGUAACAAUAUUUUAGCUACUGCUGAUGGAAAACUAUACUGGCCACUUAAAUACAUAUCAUUUAACCCACAACUUACUAGGUAAAUAUUAUGGCCUGAACUGUGUUCCCCCAAAAGUCAUAUAUUGAAGUCUUAACCCCGCAUACCUCAGAAUGUGACUCUAUUUGGAGACAGGGUCUUUAAAGUAGUAAUUAAGGUAAAAAUGAGAUCGUGUGGGUGGACCAUAAUCCAGUAUGACUUGUGUCCUUGUAAGAAGGACACAGGUACACACAGAAGCAACACCAUGUGAAGGCAGUAGAGGACAACAGCUAUCUAUAAGCCAAGGAGAGAGGGUUUACUUAGAAUUCCAAAUUCCAGAAUUGUGAGGAAGAUAUAUUUCUGUUGUUCAACCCACCCAGUCUGUGGCACUCAGUUAUGGCAGUGGUACUUUGUUAUGGUACUUAGCAAACUCAUACAGUAGGUAAAUUAUUCUACCCUAUGACCCGAUUCUUUUGAGAUUUACUCAAGUCCUCGUAGUGUGCCCCAAUGGAUUUGUAAUAGAAACAGAAUGGAAGAACAAAGUACCCUGUUCUUUCUAAGGGCUUCUAUUCCCAUGGAGUCCUGACGGGUCUGCCAAACAAAGGGUGAUCACAUGAUCAAGACUAUGACAUCCUAAGAUUCCUUCCCACUACAACUGGCCCAGGGGAGACUUCUGGCUCAAGCUGUCAAUCAGCCUCUCCUAGGAUCUGAAACCUGACUCCACAGACUCCUCCAGCUCUUUCCUGUUGACAUGAUGUAUUUACUGAGAAGCUCUUCUCAUAGGGUGAACUGAAGCUGAGAAGGCAGUGUCGCACAGGCCUGAGUCUGGGAAGUGGACCCAGAGUUAACGAGCAAGAAGUCCACAGGUUAUAUUGAAUGGCUGCCCUCCUAUCUUGUCUGGAAGAGAUCCCCAGAGGACCCCAGCUCUCAGAGCCAGAAAUUGGUUUCUUCCUUCCAAGCAGACAUGACUCCCCAGACUCUGACCCUUGGGAUGUAUGCACAAAACAUUUCUUUCCAUUCCGUCACCCAGGUAUCCACCGAGGCUUCCCUGCCACUCUGGCACCUGCAACUGAAAUGCUGUCCCUGUGCUCUGUUCUUUUUGUAGUUUUUUCACUACCUCAUAUUACAUUCUAAGCUUAUAGGUUAACUUGCUCAUUAUUUGACUCCACCACUAAAAAUAUAAAUUCCAUGAGAGAAGGCAAUUUGCUCUCUUUUUCACGACUGGAUCGUCAGAGCUUAAACAGUGGCUGGAACAUACAGUGAAUUCAACAAGUACCUGUUAAAUGAAUAAAUGAUUUAAAUAACACAGUCACUCUGUGCAGCUGAACAAAAAACUCAGCUCUGAUUCAAGAACUACUAAAUAAUUAACUCUACAAAAAUAUUACUUGGAAAUGUUGAUUUUACUGAAGAUUUUGGAUGGGAAAUAGAGAAAGGAUUUAUAUUGGAACUCUUCAUUAAAAAUUGUUCAACCUCAUUCAUAACAAAAAGAAUGCAAAUUAAAAUCGGACCAAGAAGCCUGCAGAGCCUAGGAAGAGUAAACAGAACUGUGGAGAUGGGGAGAGAAAGGAGGGGAAGGGAGGUACCUGGCACAUAGCCCAAGGGAACGAGAAAAGUAUUUAUGUGGGAGAGGGGCAGAGAUGUGAGAUGUGUUACAUACAGGAGGGAUGCUCAAAUAAACAACUAUUUAAGGAUAAUGUGAGCUAAGUUUCUCACUGUCAGAGAAGGGAAUUAAAAAUACAGAAAAGGAGAAAACUAUAAUGAAUCAUGUGAUGUUGGAUAAGAAUUGAAGGUAUGGUAUCAACCUAUAGUUGUAAUGUAUAGAAAUAAAUAAAUAUAGAUGUAAACAUGUGUCUAUUAAGAAGGCCUAGGAAUAGAGAUAACCCAAUAGUGAGGAGCACACGUAGCACCCAGAUCUUGGCUUCUAAAUACCGGUCUCCACUAAAAGUUUCCUUGAAAAAUGGAUGACUCCAAGGCCAGGGCAGGGAAAGUACAAGAUGAGCUUGGAACAUCUCUUUGAAUCAGAAAGCAGGGAAAGGCUCAGAGAAUGAUGGAAAUAAGUCAAAAGAACAGAGGAGCCAGCUUGAAGGAGCUCCCACUGACCAAAUCUAGGACAACUUGACCAUCAAAAUAAAUAAUGAUAGUGACAAAUUAUGACCCAUUGAAUACAGCAGAAACCAAUGAGUUCAUAGUCAUAUAACUAAAAGAAACAAAUUGAUAAAUUGAAAUUUAAUACCAAAAGAGAUAUUUACAUGAUUUCAAAGUACUCUACCACAAAAUACUUAGCAAUUACAAAAGGAAAAGAUUAAAUUUACAAUGGAGAAUCCUGGCAGUCACCACUUUAAUCAAAUGAUCAGAGUGAACACCAUCAGUAAUGUGAUAAAUCAACAUCACGUGCCACCCAAUAGGUUGCAAUGAGAAGAACACAGCGUACCUUCUGUCACAUUCCUGCCAAAGAAGUAUAAUCUGAAGUGAGUCAAAAGGAAACGUCAGGCAAACCCAAAUUAAGAGAAAUUUUACAAAAUAUCUGGCCUAUAAUCUUUCAAAGUAUCAAGAUGGUGAAAGUGAAAAAAAGUGGAAGAAACCAUUUCAGAUUGAAAGAGGUUAAAGAGGCCCAGCAGCUAAGCACAACACACUAUUCUAGACCGGAUAUUUUUGCUACAAAGGACAUGUUAGGGAUAAAGAGCAAAGCAAGAAUGAAGUCUGAGGAUUAGAUGGUAGUAAUGUAUCAAAGCUAAUGCCCUGAGACCAAUGGCUUUAUUUUGGUUAUGCAGGAGAAUGUUCUGGUUUGUAAGAUAUAUACCCUAAAGUUUUCUGGGGUGCAGGGGCAUUGUGUUGGAAACUUACACUUUAAUAGUUGAGGGAAAAAAUGUUCUUUGUACUUGCAACUUUUCUGUAACUUUGAGAUAGUCUGAAAAUUUUGAAAAAAUGACCUUAAAAAAAUCCUAGAAGCCAGCCAGAUGAUCCUACGGUUAAGUUCGGCACAUUCAGCUUUGGUGGCCAGGGCUCAGUUACCAGGUGUGGACCUACACCAC